rnacentral:rRNA from 1 species
AUUGAACGCUGGCGGCAGGCCUAACACAUGCAAGUCGAGCGGACUGAGGUAGCUUGCUACCAAGGUUAGCGGAGGACGGGUGAGUAACGGGUAGGAAUCUACCUGGUAAUGGGGGAUAACGUUCCGAAAGGAACGCUAAUACCGCAUACGCCCUAAGGGGGAAAGUGGGGGACCUUCGGGCCUCACGUUAUCAGAUGAGCCGGCGUUGGAUUAGCUCGUUGGUAGGGUAAAGGCCUACCAAGGCGACGAUCCUUAACUGGUCUGACAGGAUGAGCGGUAACCGUGGAACUGAGCCACGGCCCAGACUCCUACGGGAGCCAGAGGUGGGUAAUUUUGGAAGAUGGGGGCAACCCUGAUCCAGCCUGGCCGGGUGUGUGAAGAAGGCCUUCGGGUUGUAAAGCACUUUCGGUCAGAAAGAAGGGUUUCAAAUUAAUACUUGGCCAUUUCUACGGUACUGACAAAAGAAGCACCGGCUAACUCCGUGCCAGCAGCCGCCGAAA